rnacentral:rRNA from 1 species
AGCAGCCGCGGUAAUUCCAGCUCCAAUAGCGUAUAUUAAAGUUGUUGCAGUUAAAAAGCUCGUAGUUGAACUUCAGGCCUGUCCAGACGGUCCGCCUUAAUUGGUGUGUACUGUCCUUGGGUGGGUCCUACCUUCUGGCGAAGCGGCAUGGCCUUAAUUGGUUGUGUCGGGGAACCAGGACUUUUUACUGUGAAAAAAUUAGAGUGUUCAAAGCAGGCAAAUAUGCUCGAAUACAUUAGCAUGGAAUAAUGGAAUAGGACGAUGGUUCUAUUUUGUUGGUUCUAGGACCGUUGUAAUGAUUAAUAGGGAUAGUUGGGGGCAUUAGUAUUCAAUUGUCAGAGGUGAAAUUCUUGGAUUUAUUGAAGACUAACUACUGCGAAAGCAUUUGCCAAGGAUGUUUUCAUUAAUCAAGAACGAAAGUUAGGGGAUCGAAGACGAUCAGAUACCGUCGUAGUCUUUAAACCNUAAAACUAUGCCGACCUAGGAAAUCGGGCGGAUGUUGACAAAAUGACUCGCUCGG